AAUUCAAAAAAAAUUUAAAGAAAUUUUAAAUAAACAAUAGGAAUUUUUAAAGAAACAUUAAAAAGAACACAAAUAUCAUUCAAAUACAUCUCAAUUCAAUCUUAAUUUAAUUCUAGUUAAAAUCCUAUUGAACUUCAUUCAAACUUUAAGCCAAACUAAUUGUAUCUUAAAUCCUAAAAAAAUCUUAAACCCUAAAUCAAACCAUAACUAAAUCCUAAACCAAACCCUAACCAAAUCCUAAAUCCUAAAUCAAACCCUAACCAAAUCCUAAACCAAAUCCUAAUCCAAACCUUAAAUCCUAAACCAAACCCUAACCAAACCCUAAAUCAAACUCUAAUCCAAAUCCUAAACCAAAUCCUAAUCCAAAUCCUAAUCCAAAUCCUAAACCCUAAAUCAAACCCUAACCAAAUUCUCAACCCUAAAUCAAACCCUAUCCAAAUCCUAAAUCCUAAAUCAAACCCUAAUUCAA
rnacentral:lncRNA from 1 species